UACGAAGGGGGCUAGCGUUGUUCGGAAUCACUGGGCGUAAAGCGCACGUAGGCGGAUUGUUAAGUCAGGGGUGAAAUCCUGGAGCUCAACUCCAGAACUGCCCUUGAUACUGACGGUCUCGAGUCCGGGAGAGGUGAGUGGAACUGCGAGUGUAGAGGUGAAAUUCGUAGAUAUUCGCAAGAACACCAGUGGCGAAGGCGGCUCACUGGCCCGGUACUGACGCUGAG
rnacentral:rRNA from 1 species